AAUUUUGCACCAAAUGAAUUAUAGCUGCCGGCCCAACCAGAUCUGCCCCAAAUUGAACCCUAUUCCACAAGUAGUCCUCCCAGACCAGCGCCGCCGCCGCCGCCCUCCGCCCUCGACCUCCUCCACCAACCAGUGCGCCCCCCAUCGACGUACGCGCCUCACGACGCCGACUCGUCAUCGCCUUCCUUCGGCACCGCCACCGGGGCAGGUCAACUAUGGCGAUGCGUCGAGGUCGAAGUCAACGUCGCCUCCCUCUCCAGCCCCAGAUCCCGUGGCGAAAAUCGCCACCACCAUACCGGCGCGCUCUUCUCCAUGGCACUCCAAGGUAACGAGCACGGGUGAGCUCCCCACCACAGCUCCCUCCAUCCCAACGGCACGAGAGGUGCUCAGAUCCAUCACGCUGGACAACACGCUGCUCAGAUCCGUCAUGCUGGAGUCUCCUCCUCUUUCCCAUGUACUCCUUUGCUACUCAGAGGAGGUGAGGUUGCCCAGCUUCUUUGUUCGAUUUUCUUUUCCUGCUACCGCAGACUGCCAGCGACCAUGUCCUCUGGACUUUUUUCUGUCCAUGAGCUCGCGGAGCUGAGGAUUUGCUUUUUGUGCCUACCUUAGCUACAUUGCUUCUUAGCAAAUAUUCACCAUCUUACAUUUUUAUAACUGAUUUUCUAUUUUGCGACUGUAAAACAAGAAGGCAGUAGAAUAACUACAAAAGGAGAAGGAAUCUGAUGUCCCAACAAAGCACAUGUGAAGAGCGCUCCAGGGAGAAAGAAGAAGGAAACAACAAUCUUGCAAACGAAUAAAGAAACAACAGCUUCAUGACAAAAAAUUUCAUGAGUGGAAAUCCUUUUUAAUGGACUGAUGGUGGGACUUGGGAGCAAAGGCCCUAUUCGGAUCCCCUCCGCUCCCCUACUGCAGCUCCCGGAGCGGAGGGAGUGCCAGCACAAUCGCGCGGAGCAGUUCGAACCCGGCUCCUCGCGCGGAGCGGAGUUGAGAAUCUAGAAGCUUCCGAACAGGCAGUAACUUUUGCACAAAUUUGGUUACGAGUCAUUGCUUUUUGCACAAAUUUGGUCAUGGGGUAAUCAAUCCAGAAUCUCAACAUUCUAGCAUUUUGCACAAAUUUGUGAAGUUCGACUUCUUAGUGUCAUGGCUCACAACUAAAUGUUCCAGGAUUAUUAUAUUGCAGAACUCAGAUGUGAAAAUCAAACUACUUUUGCUUGAUCCUAUUGAGUAUGAACAUGAAACAAUGCUUGCCUGUGCUGUCAGCUACUGUUCCUAAUUCACCACACAUUGUGCUAUCUUUCAUUCAAUUAAAUGUAUAACCUUGCUUUUCAUUUGAUUCGUACAACAACUGCAUCUUGCUUCCAGAAUUUCUUCAUGGUCCUGUGUAAUCUAUCUCUCAUAAUUAUAUACACAUUAUGCCUGAACCUGUGUUGUUUGUGUGAAAGGAAACAUCUCUAGUAUUUUCAAAUGUUUAUACAUAGCUUGAACUAUAUUGGAAGGUAUCAAUGUUUGUGAAUUAAUACUCAAGCCACAAUAAUAUUGGUAUAGAUAUAUAUGUGAAGCUUGAAAAUACGCCAGUAGGAAUACAUGUCAGCUGCCAUAUGUAGUUGUAAGCUACUUGCUUUAAAAACAUCACUAUGGUUUGCUUUUGUGCUUGCAAAAUGAUUAUUAUGCAAGCAUGUACUUGCUGUCUGAGCCUAUAUUCUUUGUUUGUGUGCUACAGUACAUAUCAUUUACCAAAGUUAUUAGCUCAUGGCAUUUGAACCAUCUUAUCUAUUCAGGUUGGCAUCAUCACUGGAAGAUGUUUCUACAUGAUGUUUCUUCUCUUCGUAUUAACAUCUUAAAAGCAUUACAAAUUCGUAACUCUUCUGCUGGAGACAUGUGGCCAUCUUCGAAUAAUGCAGUUUCAUUGGAUGGUGUGAGUUUGGUAUUCAGAUGAAUAUGUUAAUUCCAUCAAAGAAACAGCUUGAACAGAAAUGUACAAAAGAGUAAUCACGCAACUUGUAUUCGUGGACAUGGCUACAGCUAUGCACUAAAGUUAAACCAUUUGUGUAGCUUCAGUCUAAGGACACAAAAUCUUAUCGUCUUAUGUAAAUUUUGUUAACCGUUGUAGCUAGAUGCUACUAAACACAUGUACGGAAAUAAGCUUAUUUGUACUGAACUUUUAGUUUGUGAAUGUUUAUGAAAGUUUAAGGUUUUGGGUGAGGUA